rnacentral:rRNA from 1 species
UCUCUCUUGAGUGGAUCCUGAGUACGACGGAGCACGUGAAAUUCCGUCGGAAUCUGGGAGGACCAUCUCCUAAGGCUAAAUACUCUCUAGUGACCGAUAGUGAACCAGUACCGUGAGGGAAAGGUGAAAAGCACCCCGGAAGGGGAGUGAAAUAGAACCUGAAACCGUGUGCUUACAAGUAGUCAGAGCCCGUUAAUGGGUGAUGGCGUGCCUUUUGUAGAAUGAACCGGCGAGUUACGAUUUGAUGCAAGGUUAAGCAGUAAAUGUGGAGCCGUAGCGAAAGCGAGUCUGAAUAGGGCGUUUAGUAUUUGGUCGUAGACCCGAAACCAGGUGAUCUACCCUUGGUCAGGUUGAAGUUCAGGUAACACUGAAUGGAGGACCGAACCGACUUACGUUGAAAAGUGAGCGGAUGAACUGAGGGUAGCGGAGAAAUUCCAAUCGAACCUGGAGAUAGCUGGUUCUCUCCGAAAUAGCUUUAGGGCUAGCCUCAAGUGAUGAUUAUUGGAGGUAGAGCACUGUUUGGACGAGGGGCCCCUCUCGGGUUACCGAAUUCAGACAAACUCCGAAUGCCAAUUAAUUUAACUUGGGAGUCAGAACAUGGGUGAUAAGGUCCGUGUUCGAAAGGGAAACAGCCCAGACCACCAGCUAAGGUCCCAAAAUAUAUGUUAAGUGGAAAAGGAUGUGGCGUUGCCCAGACAACUAGGAUGUUGGCUUAGAAGCAGCCAUCAUUUAAAGAGUGCGUAAUAGCUCACUAGUCGAGUGACACUGCGCCGAAAAUGUACCGGGGCUAAACAUAUUACCGAAGCUGUGGAUUGUCCUUUGGACAAUGGUAGGAGAGCGUUCUAAGGGCGUUGAAGCAUGAUCGUAAGGACAUGUGGAGCGCUUAGAAGUGAGAAUGCCGGUGUGAGUAGCGAAAGACGGGUGAGAAUCCCGUCCACCGAUUGACUAAGGUUUCCAGAGGAAGGCUCGUCCGCUCUGGGUUAGUCGGGUCCUAAGCUGAGGCCGACAGGCGUAGGCGAUGGAUAACAGGUUGAUAUUCCUGUACCACCUA